ACACAUGCAAGUCGAGCGAAGCGGCUGAAUUGAUUCUUCGGAUGAUUUUCAGUUGACUGAGCGGCGGACGGGUGAGUAACGCGUGGGUGACCUGCCCCAUACCGGGGGAUAACAGCUGGAAACGGCUGCUAAUACCGCAUAAGCGCACAGAGCUGCAUGGCUCGGUGUGAAAAACUCCGGUGGUAUGGGAUGGGCCCGCGUCUGAUUAGGCAGUUGGCGGGGUAACGGCCCACCAAACCGACGAUCAGUAGCCGGCCUGAGAGGGCGACCGGCCACAUUGGGACUGAGACACGGCCCAAACUCCUACGGGAGGCAGCAGUGGGGAAUAUUGCACAAUGGGGGAAACCCUGAUGCAGCGACGCCGCGUGAGCGAAGAAGUAUUUCGGUAUGUAAAGCUCUAUCAGCAGGGAAGAUAAUGACGGUACCUGACUAAGAAGCCCCGGCUAACUACGUGCCAGCAGCCGCGGUAAUACGUAGGGGGCAAGCGUUAUCCGGAUUUACUGGGUGUAAAGGGAGCGUAGACGGCAAGGCAAGUCUGAUGUGAAAACCCAGGGCUUAACCCUGGGACUGCAUUGGAAACUGUCUGGCUCGAGUGCCGGAGAGGUAAGCGGAAUUCCUAGUGUAGCGGUGAAAUGCGUAGAUAUUAGGAAGAACACCAGUGGCGAAGGCGGCUUACUGGACGGU
rnacentral:rRNA from 1 species